AUCAUCGGUUGUUCAGAUGGUAGAACGUUAGACUCAUAAUCAAAGAGUCGCUGGUUCAAUACUUGCCCAUGCCA